AACGAACGCUGGCGGCAGGCUUAACACAUGCAAGUCGAGCGCAUCCUUCGGGGUGAGCGGCGGACGGGUGAGUAACGCGUGGGAACGUGCCCUCUUCUACGGAAUAGCCUCGGGAAACUGAGAGUAAUGCCGUAUACGCCCGCAAGGGGAAAGAUUUAUCGGAGGAGGAUCGGCCCGCGUUGGAUUAGGUAGUUGGUGGGGUAACGGCCUACAAAGCCGACGAUCCAUAGCUGGUUUGAGAGGAUGAUCAGCCACACUGGGACUGAGACACGGCCCAGACUCCUACGGGAGGCAGCAGUGGGGAAUCUUGGACAAUGGGGGCAACCCUGAUCCAGCCAUGCCGCGUGAUCGAUGAAGGCCUUAGGGUUGUAAAGAUCUUUCAGCUGGGAAGAUAAUGACGGUACCAGCAGAAGAAGCCCCGGCUAACUCCGUG
rnacentral:rRNA from 1 species